CACCAUCUCAACCUUCAUUGGUAUCUCAAUCAAUUCUACCUUCUGUGUCAUCAUUGCAGUCCUCACCACAAUUGGUGUAUCCACCAGCUGUCCCUCAAGAAUAUUGUAAUUGCAGUACAUCCAGUGGUAAUCAACUUGCUCAAAUGUCUGGAAAUAUUCAUGGGAAUCUUAUGGAUGCUGGUGUAAAAAGUGAAUGGUUUCCCCAGAAGUCUCCUUCCUUCACUUCUGCAGCAGUUUGCAGUUCUAGAGAAUCUUUAGGAUAUAUUCCUUCAAGGCAAUUGGAAUAUGGACAUAAUGACCUGUAUUUAAAUCCCCAAGCUUCUCAACAAAGCCCACAUUUUCAACCAGGAAGUACACCUUUCACACAAAGACCUUUGCAUCCAACCCUGCCACAAACUGCAUCUGGUCAAUUUUCUUUUGCAAAGCCUGC
rnacentral:misc_RNA from 1 species